GUGUUUACUUCGGCAGCACAUAUACUAAAAUUGGAACGAUAAAGCAAAGAUUAGCAUGGCACCUGCUAAGGAUGACACGCAAAUUUGUGAAGCGUUCUAUAUUUUU